rnacentral:rRNA from 1 species
CCUACGGGGGACUGCAGUGGGGAAUAUUGCACAAUGGGGGAAACCCUGAUGCAGCGACGCCGCGUGAGUGAAGAAGUAUUUCGGUACGUAAAGCUCUAUCAGCAGGGAAGAAAAUGACGGUACCUGACUAAGAAGCCCCGACUAACUACGUGCCAGCAGCCGCGGUAAUACGUAGGGGGCAAGCGUUAUCCGGAUUUACUGGGUGUAAAGGGAGCGUAGACGGCAGCGCAAGUCUGGAGUGAAAUCCCAUGGCUUAACCAUGGAACUGCUUUGGAAACUGUGCAGCUAGAGUGCAGGAGAGGUAAGCGGAAUUCCUAGUGUAGCGGUGAAAUGCGUAGAUAUUAGGAGGAACACCAGUGGCGAAGGCGGCUUACUGGACUGUAACUGACGUUGAGGCUCGAAAGCGUGGGGAGCAAACAGGAUUAGAUACCCUAGUAGUC